rnacentral:rRNA from 1 species
GGGUUGUGAGGUUAAGCGACUAAGCGUACACGGUGGAUGCCCUGGCAGUCAGAGGCGAUGAAGGGCGUGCUAAUCUGCGAUAAGCGCCGGUAAGGUGAUAUGAACCGUUAUAACCGGCGAUACCCGAAUGGGGAAACCCAGUGUGAUUCGUCACACUAUCAUUAACUGAAUCCAUAGGUUAAUGAGGCGAACCGGGGGAACUGAAACAUCUAAGUACCCCGAGGAAAAGAAAUCAACCGAGAUUCCCCCAGUAGCGGCGAGCGAACGGGGAGGAGCCCAGAGCCUGAAUCAGCAUGUGUGUUAGUGGAAGCGUCUGGAAAGGCGCGCGAUACAGGGUGACAGCCCCGUACACAAAAGCGCAUGUGCUGUGAGCUCGAUGAGUAGGGCGGGACACGUGGUAUCCUGUCUGAAUAUGGGGGGACCAUCCUCCAAGGCUAAAUACUCCUGACUGACCGAUAGUGAACCAGUACCGUGAGGGAAAGGCGAAAAGAACCCCGGCGAGGGGAGUGAAAAAGAACCUGAAACCGUGUACGUACAAGCAGUGGGAGCNNGUGACUGCGUACCUUUUGUAUAAUGGGUCAGCGACUUAUAUUCUGUAGCAAGGUUAACCGAAUAGGGGAGCCGGAGGGAAACCGAGUCUUAAUUGGGCGUUAAGUUGCAGGGUAUAGACCCGAAACCCGGUGAUCUAGCCAUGGGCAGGUUGAAGGUUGGGUAACACUAACUGGAGGACCGAACCGACUAAUGUUGAAAAAUUAGCGGAUGACCUGUGGCUGGGGGUGAAAGGCCAAUCAAACCGGGAGAUAGCUGGUUCUCCCCGAAAGCUAUUUAGGUAGCGCCUCGUGAAUUCAUCUCCGGGGGUAGAGCACUGUUUCGGCUAGGGGGCCAUCCCGGCUUACCAACCCGAUGCAAACUGCGAAUACCGGAGAAUGUUAUCACGGGAGACACACGGCGGGUGCUAACGUCCGUCGUGAAGAGGGAAACAACCCAGACCGCCAGCUAAGGUCCCAAAGUCAUGGUUAAGUGGGAAACGAUGUGGGAAGGCCCAGACAGCCAGGAUGUUGGCUUAGAAGCAGCCAUCAUUUAAAGAAAGCGUAAUAGCUCACUGGUCGAGUCGGCCUGCGCGGAAGAUGUAACGGGGCUAAACCAUGCACCGAAGCUGCGGCAGCGANNGUUGGGUAGGGGAGCGUUCUGUAAGCCUGUGAAGGUGUGUCGUGAGGCAUGCUGGAGGUAUCAGAAGUGCGAAUGCUGACAUAAGUAACGAUAAAGCGGGUGAAAAGCCCGCUCGCCGGAAGACCAAGGGUUCCUGUCCAACGUUAAUCGGGGCAGGGUGAGUCGACCCCUAAGGCGAGGCCGAAAGGCGUAGUCGAUGGGAAACGGGUUAAUAUUCCCGUACUUGGUGUUACUGCGAAGGGGGGACGGAGAAGGCUAUGUUGGCCGGGCGACGGUUGUCCCGGUUUAAGCGUGUAGGUGUGUGUUCCAGGUAAAUCCGGUUCACUUUAACACUGAGGCGUGAUGACGAGGCACUACGGUGCUGAAGUAACAAAUGCCCUGCUUCCAGGAAAAGCCUCUAAGCAUCAGGUAACAUCAAAUCGUACCCCAAACCGACACAGGUGGUCAGGUAGAGAAUACCAAGGCGCUUGAGAGAACUCGGGUGAAGGAACUAGGCAAAAUGGUGCCGUAACUUCGGGAGAAGGCACGCUGACACGUAGGUGAAGUGAUUUACUCAUGGAGCUGAAGUCAGUCGAAGAUACCAGCUGGCUGCAACUGUUUAUUAAAAACACAGCACUGUGCAAACACGAAAGUGGACGUAUACGGUGUGACGCCUGCCCGGUGCCGGAAGGUUAAUUGAUGGGGUCAGCGCAAGCGAAGCUCCUGAUCGAAGCCCCGGUAAACGGCGGCCGUAACUAUAACGGUCCUAAGGUAGCGAAAUUCCUUGUCGGGUAAGUUCCGACCUGCACGAAUGGCGUAAUGAUGGCCAGGCUGUCUCCACCCGAGACUCAGUGAAAUUGAACUCGCUGUGAAGAUGCAGUGUACCCGCGGCAAGACGGAAAGACCCCGUGAACCUUUACUAUAGCUUGACACUGAACAUUGAGCCUUGAUGUGUAGGAUAGGUGGGAGGCUUUGAAGUGUGGACGCCAGUCUGCAUGGAGCCGACCUUGAAAUACCACCCUUUAAUGUUUGAUGUUCUAACGUGGACCCGUGAUCCGGGUUGCGGACAGUGUCUGGUGGGUAGUUUGACUGGGGCGGUCUCCUCCUAAAGAGUAACGGAGGAGCACGAAGGUUGGCUAAUCCUGGUCGGACAUCAGGAGGUUAGUGCAAUGGCAUAAGCCAGCUUGACUGCGAGCGUGACGGCGCGAGCAGGUGCGAAAGCAGGUCAUAGUGAUCCGGUGGUUCUGAAUGGAAGGGCCAUCGCUCAACGGAUAAAAGGUACUCCGGGGAUAACAGGCUGAUACCGCCCAAGAGUUCAUAUCGACGGCGGUGUUUGGCACCUCGAUGUCGGCUCAUCACAUCCUGGGGCUGAAGUAGGUCCCAAGGGUAUGGCUGUUCGCCAUUUAAAGUGGUACGCGAGCUGGGUUUAGAACGUCGUGAGACAGUUCGGUCCCUAUCUGCCGUGGGCGCUGGAGAACUGAGGGGGGCUGCUCCUAGUACGAGAGGACCGGAGUGGACGCAUCACUGGUGUUCGGGUUGUCAUGCCAAUGGCACUGCCCGGUAGCUAAAUGCGGAAGAGAUAAGUGCUGAAAGCAUCUAAGCACGAAACUUGCCCCGAGAUGAGUUCUCCCUGAGACUUAAAGUCUCCUGAAGGAACGUUGAAGACGACGACGUUGAUAGGCCGGGUGUGUAAGCGCAGCGAUGCGUUGAGCUAACCGGUACUAAUGAACCGUGAGGCUUAACCUUACAACGCCGAAG